GGAGGAAGAGAGCAGCGUCGUGGGCACUGUGGUCAGAGCGUACUCUCCCAUCUUCAAAACCAAGACCAGUGCUGCCCUGCUGGAUAUGCUUGUGGAGGAGGGUCCUUCCAGCCCAAAGCAAGUGCCCGCCAUGGUGAGGUACAUCCACCAGUGGCUGGUGGCCAAUGAGUUUCCUGAGUACAAUCUGUACAGGCCCCUUCUGGAUCUGACAGGGGCACAGCCCUCUGACGUGGUGAUGGCUCUCCUGCGUGUGGCCCCAUUGUGUGACAGAGCUGCUUUGGCCAUGUGGAAGAGCAUCAUGUGCUCGCCCAGGACUGCAGAGCCGGCCAUGCUCGUACUCCUCGAGGUGCUGGGGAGCUGGCCAGAGCACAGCACGUGCACCUCCAAUGGGGACCACACGGCUGUCCUUGCCCUGGCUGCAACCGUGGUGAUGUGGAAGAUCCUCCAGCUGCCCUGUGUGCCACAUGUAGUCACUGUGUGUUUCCCCUGCCUCUUGGUGCAUCUGCUAUUCCAAGUGCUCUUCAGCACUCUGGAUAUGCCAGAGGAGGUCAAUACCUUCUGGAAGGGAUGUCAGCAGCAACACGGCCUUGCCACCAACCCCAGCAGCUUUGCAGAGCAGACCCUGAAGGCCCUGGUGGUGGCCAUGGAAGACAAGGGUGGCUGGGACACACUGCUCUGUGCUGACACCCACCACUGUGCUGUGGGCGUGCUGGCCAGAGAAAUGCACCGUGCAUCCGAAGCCGUGUGUUCCGCGAUUGCAUUCCAGCUGCUCGGGCAGCUCAGCAAAGACACGCCAUGCCGGGAUUUGGCCGCCCUGGCGUUCCUUGUGGAGGUGAGCCUGAAGGCCAGCGCUGCCUCGCUCAGCUGCCUCCCGGCUCUCUGCCCUCUCUUGGCCGCAGUGCCUGGGACGGAGCCCGCGCCCUGUGCUGCUGCCUGGGCCCGGCCCUGUGCGGUUCUGGGCUCCCGCCGGCCGCUCCCCCGUCACUGCCCUGUGCCUUUCAGGUCCUGGAGCGCCUGA
rnacentral:lncRNA from 1 species